rnacentral:rRNA from 1 species
UACGUAGGGUGCGAGCGUUAAUCGGAAUUACUGGGCGUAAAGUGUGCGCAGGCGGCCGAGCAAGUCGAGUGUGAAAGCCCCGGGCUUAACUUGGGAAUUGCGCUCGAAACUACUUGGCUGGAGUGUGGCAGAGGGGGGUGGAAUUCCACGUGUAGCGGUGAAAUGCGUAGAGAUGUGGAGGAACACCGAUGGCGAAGGCAAUCCCCUGGGCCUGCACUGACGCUCAUGCACGAAAGCGUGGGGAGCAAACAGG